GGACUAAUUAAGGAGAAUGGAGAAAAGAAAAGGAAAAGGGAAAGGCAGUACUAGUACAAAUGAUGGAUUAAUAAUGACUAACUUUUGGGAAAUGGAAAAUGAUGUGACACAAAUCAAUUCAAUGGGUAACUCAAACAUGUUACCCUUCCCAGGCUCAGACAAACAAUAAAAAAGUAGGAAGGACUCCGUUUCGUAAUUAUUUUCGGCGUCCUCCGUUUUUUUUGGUAACGUAAAUAUAUCACCAACGUCCGUUUUUAGUUUGCGAUCUCAACGAUUCAUAAUUGUUUGAAUAUUAAAUCUCUCUUUCACAUUUUAUUUUUUGGAUUCAUAUAUUUUUUCAAUUUGUAAGCUAGUCACUCUCUUUAAUUCCUAUAUAUCAAUUAAUACUCAAAUACAUCAUACGGUACCAGAGCCGCCUUGGGAGUGAAGGGAUUCGUCUCCAAGGUUAAAACAACCUGCAUUGUCAAAUUAAGAAUAACCCUAAUUAGAUUGAAAAACACCAAAUCUGAGAAAUUGGAAAAAAGGGUAUUGCUACAAACUUACAGAGAGGAGGAUGAACAGGAAGAAGCAGCCAUGGAGAUUCAUUCUUGCUGAUGGGAAUGUUGGUUGGAACAGAAAAAAAGGAAGGAAAGAGAGAUUGGUUAUAAA
rnacentral:lncRNA from 1 species